GGGGCAUUACCUAGAGUUUGUAGACUUCGGUCUGCUACCUCUUACCCAUGUCUUUUGAGUACCUUCGUUUCCUCGGCGGGUCCGCCCGCCGGUUGGACAACAUUCAAACCCUUUGCAGUUGCAAUCAUCGUCUGAAAAAACAUAAUAGUUACAGCUUUCAACAACGGAUCUCUUGGUUCUGGCAUCGAUGAAGAACGUGACGAAAUGCGAUAAGUGCCGUGAAUUGCACAAUUGGGUGAAUCAUCGAAUCUUUGAACGCACAUUGCGCCCCUUGGUAUUCCAUGGGGCAUGCCUGUUCUAUCGUCGUUUGUACCUUCAAGCUCUGAUUGGUGUUGGGUGUUGUUGAAAGUUGUAACUAUUAUGUUUUUUCAAACACUGAUUGCAACUGCAAAGGUUUUGAAUGAUGUCAAAACAGCGGGCGCACCCCCCUAGGAAACGAAAGUUCUCAAAAGACAUGUUUACGAUGUAGCACACCGAACUCUACAAACUCCACGUAAUGAUCCUUCCGCACGUCACCCUAAAGGAAAA
rnacentral:rRNA from 1 species